GCGUUGGUGGUUCAGUGGUAGAAUUCUCGCUUUCUGUGCAGGAGACACAGGUUUGAUUCCCUGCCAGUGCA
rnacentral:tRNA from 1 species